rnacentral:rRNA from 1 species
UACGUAGGGGGCUAGCGUUGUCCGGAUUUAUUGGGCGUAAAGAGCGUGUAGGCGGCCAGGUAGGUCUGCUGUGAAAACUCGAGGCUCAACCUCGAGACGUCGGCGGAAACCAUCUGGCUAGAGUCCGGAAGAGGAGAGUGGAAUUCCUGGGUGUAGCGGUGAAAUGCGCAGAUAUCAGGAAGAACACCCGUGGCGAAGGCGGCUCUCUGGGACGGUACUGACGCUGAGACGCGAAAGCGUGGGGAGCGA